AGCUCUCCACGUAUCCCUUGUUUGACCGUAGGUUUUCAAACAUAGCCACAGGAGGGUUAUAGGGAUAAUUGGCUGGCAGCCUAGGGACUGUAUUUAAUUAAUGUGGAAUGCCCCAGCUGUAGCAGCAUUCCUUGCAGGAGCCACAGCCCACAUAGCUACAGGUGCUGUCCUGCUCUCUCUUCAGGCCCAGGGACUGCUCUUCUUCAUGCUGGAGUAUUGUGUGUUGCAACUUGUGCCACAUUUGGAAAAUAACACGCUUAGUGAUUUAUAAGGUGACUGUGGGUGCUUGCUGCUUGCUUCAGGUAAGUUCCUGUUAUGCCUAUCAAAGGGAGGAAGCCUGCCAGAAGAUACAGAAGAGCCAAGCAGGAGAAUGCAGAGAACUGUUCACUGCUCAUUACUGAUGUGCAACACUCGUCCUUGUAGCUCUGCACUGGGUAACAGGAACUGCCACGCUGUUUCCAGGAUCAGCCAGUGGCAGAUGGUUAGAGAAGGGGCCUUGUGAGACUGGCAGAAGCAGCCUGUCCUGUUCUGCUGUCUGGCUUAAGAGUGCCUAACUGCUGAUGGGUGAGAAUAUUUAGCCCUGGUACAGCACAGAAUAUCAAAGGGCUUGAAUUUGCUCAGCUUCUGCCAUCUCAAAUAUAAUUCUCUGUAUUCUCA